ACAAAUUCUCCUAAGCAAAUUGGACAUUCACUCGCCCAUAAACCACCACCGGAAUCUGCCACAGAGUUUUCUUCUUAAUGCCUUUAGCAGCAACAACUCGAGACUCCUCUGCGGUUUCAUGGACCAACGACCUAUGACUACAACGUAAAGUACACUUAAUUAUGCACGGAGCAAAACAACAAGGAUUAUGAUCAUAUUUGUGUUGAAAUUUGAAUCAUUAAGGUACAUCAUCUAUCUGAUUUUUAUUUGUUGGUGGCAUACUUUUCUGUUAUGUCUCAAGUAGAAGAAGCCGACGAUUGAAAUUCAUCAUGUUCCUAUAGCUAGCUGAUCAAGAAUCAAUUCCUGCAUGUCAAAUAAUAAAAACCUAAUUUUUACUAUAGUACAUAGCUAAGAAAAAGGGAGAAGAAAUAUAAAAAAGAAUCUAUGAGCUACAAAAAUAGAAAAUGAAGUCAUUGGGGCUUGCAAACUUUUUCUUUUUUCAAGCAUCUUGUGUCCAGAAUUCAUAACCCACAUGCUUAACUAAUCCAGAUUCGCACUAUAGAAACCUGAUCAUGGGGUUAACGCUCCCUACAGAAGAUCGAGGGCUCCAUUCCCAAGAUGCGCACCCAAGACAUCUGGAUAAAGAGGGCUCCAUCCAGAUUUGCCUUUAUCACUCUGGCCACCACACUCUUCUAUAGUGCGUGCAAGCUCUUCAAGAAAAACCAAUUUGAAUUUUUUUUCUUUUGUUUGUGUGAAUUUUUAUGUCUGAGAAUGCUGAAUAGAUUCGAAAAAGAAAAUAUUACACCCCACAUUUUCGUAUGUAAAGGUGUGUCGUAAGCAAACUAAUGUAAGAUAAAAAAUGAGAUCAUCUUUGAAAGUAUAUAAAGUAAGUUAUCAUGUUACCUCGGAGGUUACUAAUAUUGAGGAUCAUGAACAACAAGUACAAAGAGGGUUGGAAAGUUCAAAAGCUAAGAAAUAGAAGAAAAUAAUAUUUCGUCGAAAGUCGACAAGUUGAGAAUGUUAUAACUCGUACCCUUGGGGUGAUACUAGGGUUCUUAACAUGAUAAGGAGGUUAUAUUAUGAGUUAUGUUAGUCGUAUGAUAGUCGUGUGUUAGUUUUUUGAAGUCAGACGAGUUGAGGAAUAAAAGUCGAUGAAAGUCAUCACAAGUUACGUUCAUAAGUUUUACUGAAAUUUGGAUCAAAUGUAACUGUGAUUUUCUCCUAAUAUACUUAGAGUUAUGGGGUGUUCCACCCAUCAAAUUGAAUAUCUUUGAGUCUAUUUUUAACUCAUUAAAUCGUUUGUGAAUACAACAUCGGAGCAGAUAGAUAUAUACGUAUUUGCGAGACUGCGUAGGCUGCUAGGUAACAAGUAAGUGUGUCACCUACUUGCUUAAAUGAGAGGAUUAUAUGUCCAAAAAUGAGCUAGUUCGGGUCAUUCAAAGAGACCUUUUAAAGGCCUAUUUAUUUCAUAUAUUACACUGAUAAUAGGGCAUAAUAACCAGACCUAAACCACUACAAAAAUCCUCCCAAAAAUCACACACAACCUUUUCAAGUUCUAGUUGGAGAAAAACCUAGAGUUUAAAGAACCAAUAUAGGAGCUGAGUUAUUCAACAAACAAGGUAAGUUUACUACUCUUUUUCAUUCAUUUUUUCUGCUGUAGAUGUAUAGAAAGCCGUUCUAUAAUUAUAAGAACUCAUGGGACGGUAAUCGGAAGCCGUGAGUUCGAGUUAUUCACUUGCAGACUGUUUUGUGGACUGUUUUGUGUUGCUGUUGGAUUGCGUGUUUUGCUACUAUUUUAUGGAGUUUUGGAGGAGAAAGGGUGUGAAGAAAUACCACAUAAAUGUAGGGUGAUGGGCUGGUCAUUCGUCAUAAUAUUUUCGGGUUGUUUGACACUACUUCGGUGGUUGUUUGGUGUAUGAAGAGAUUGGGGUGUGUUGGGCUGUUUUGUAGUAUUUUGUGGUGUAUAUAAGGUUGUACAUAAUGUAAAUAUGUUGUUAUUAUUGUGUUCUUGUGUUGUUGGUGUUAUCUUGAAUUUGGAGGAAGUAAGGAUUAUAGGGGAGAUGCUGCCCAUUUUAAUACAAAAUAAGCUUAUCGUUCGUUGUGCGAUAGUUGUAUCUUUCAUAAUUUAAUGAUAGUAUUAUUAUCGUUGUUGUAGAUUAAGGUGCGAAGAGGCGAGUUCAACUUGGUGAUUGGAAAG
rnacentral:lncRNA from 1 species